rnacentral:rRNA from 1 species
UACGGAGGGUCCAAGCGUUAUCCGGAUUCAUUGGGUUUAAAGGGUGUGUAGGCGGAAAGGUCAGUCAGUGGUGAAAUCCUGCAGCUUAACUGUAGAACUGCCAUUGAUACUUCCUUUCUUGAGUCUAGAUGAAGUGAGCGGAAUGUGUCAUGUAGCGGUGAAAUGCAUAGAUAUGACACAGAACACCGAUUGCGAAGGCAGCUCGCUAAGCUAGUACUGACGCUGAGGCACGAAAGCGUGGGUAGCGAAC